UAGCCACCAUGUCUUUCACCUUGUCAAAACUAAUCUUCUGUCAUGGAGUCUUCGUUCCCAAAAGAAUUCGUAGUCGUUAUAAACCAAAUUUGCUUCCAGAUAACGUCCCUGAGUUGGCAUCCUUGAGGGCUGUUCUGCCGAGGCUUUUGUUUUUCAGGGUCAUUCCCCGUCUUCCUUAUGCCAAGGCUCACUCGGACCAGUGCGUCAGCAGGAUUCGCUUACAUUUCCCAAGAAGAUCGCCACUUUGCCUAACAGAGUAUGGUGGCAGGUUGCUGAUAUGUUUAGCCAGGGUCCUUUGGUCAGUAAGGCGCUUGUCUUCCCCUAAGGAUGCAUUCCUGUCAACAAGGUGGCUCAUUGGCAUUCUGCUGUGA
rnacentral:lncRNA from 1 species